UGAUCCUGGCUCAGAUUGAACGCUGGCGGCAGGCCUAACACAUGCAAGUCGAACGGUAACAGGAUAGCUUGCUAUCGCUGACGAGUGGCGGACGGGUGAGUAAUACUUAGGGAUCUGCCUCUGUGUGGGGGAUAACUAUUGGAAACGAUAGCUAAUACCGCAUAAUGUCUACGGACCAAAGCGGGCUUCGGCUCGUGCGCAGAGAGGAACCUAAGCGAGAUUAGCUAGUUGGUGAGGUAAAGGCUCACCAAGGCGACGAUCUCUAGCUGUUCUGAGAGGAAGAUCAGCCACACUGGAACUGAGACACGGUCCAGACUCCUACGGGAGACAACAGUGGGGAAUAUUGCACAAUGGGGGAAACCCUGAUGCAGCCAUGCCGCGUGUGUGAAGAAGGCCUUCGGGUUGUAAAGCACUUUCAGUUGUGAGGAAAGUUUAGUAGUUAAUACCUGCUAGAUGUGACGUUAGCAACAGAAGAAGCACCGGCUAACUCCGUGCCAGCAGCCGCGGUAAUACGGAGGGUGCGAGCGUUAAUCGGAAUUACUGGGCGUAAAGCGCACGCAGGCGGUCUGUUAAGCUAGAUGUGAAAGCCCCGCGCUCAACGUGGGAGGGUCAUUUAGAACUGGCAGACUAGAGUCUUGGAGAGGGGAGUGGAAUUCCAGGUGUAGCGGUGAAAUGCGUAGAGAUCUGGAGGAACAUCAAUGGCGAAGGCAACUCCCUGGCCAAAGACUGACGCUCAUGUGCGAAAGUGUGGGUAGCGAACAGGAUUAGAUACCCUGGUAGU
rnacentral:rRNA from 1 species